UACGGGGGGAGCAAGCGUUGUUCGGAUUUACUGGGCGUAAAGGGCGCGUAGGCGGUCAGCACAAGUCAGUUGUGAAAUCUCCGGGCUUAACUCGGAAAGGUCAACUGAUACUGUGCGACUAGAGUGCAGAAGGGGCAACUGGAAUUCUCGGUGUAGCGGUGAAAUGCGUAGAUAUCAAGAGGAACACCUGCGGCGAAGGCGGGUUGCUGGGCCGACACUGACGCUGAGUGCGCGAAAGCCAGGGGAGCGAACGGG
rnacentral:rRNA from 1 species